GACGGGACCCCGCACAAGCGGUGGAUCAUGUUGUUUAAUUCGAUGAUACGCGAAGAACCUUACCAGGUCUUGACAUCCCCCGCGAUGCUUUAGAGAUAAAGCGGAGGUAUUCGGGGAGACAGGUGGUGCAUGGUUGUCGUCAGCUCGUGUCGUGAGAUGUUGGGUUAAGUCCCGCAACGAGCGCAACCCCUAUUGCUAGUUACCAUCAUUAAGUUGGGGACUCUAGCGAGACUGCCAGUGAUAAACUGGAGGAAGGUGGGGAUGACGUCAAAUCAUCAUGCCCCUUAUGACCUGGGCUACAAACGUGAUACAAUGGCUGGAACAAAGGGAUGCGAAGCAGUGAUGUGGAGCGAAACUCAUAAAAACAGUCUCAGUUCGGAUUGAAGUCUGCAACUCGACUUCAUGAAGCUGGAAUCGCUAGUAAUCGUGGAUCAGCCAAGCCGCGGUGAAUACGUUCCCGGGCCUU
rnacentral:rRNA from 1 species